UUUCUCUUCUAAUUACAUUUAAUUGUGUGUGUUGGGGGGUGCUGGUUGAUUCACCAUGUAGGUCCGAGGGACUGAAUUCUUCCCUGGACUUGAUGGCCGCAGCCUUCACCCGCUGAGCCCUCCCACCAGCCCCAGUUAGCGGGUCUGGAAUAGGGAAGUGUGGAUGUCUUAGAUCUUUUCAGGUAUUGUUGAAAAGGGAGGGAGAGAGAAAGAGGCAGCAAAAGUGGCUUCUGGUCAUGUGAGGAGUCAUCAGGGCGUAUUCAUGUUCUCCAAGCGUCUGGAACAUGCCUGGAGCAUGACCAGCCUGUGUGCUACCCAGGCUCUGACUACUGAGCUAAAUGUCUAGCCCCAAUACUUGUCAUGUGAACAGAUUACACAGCUCUAGUAAAAAGGGAGAGAACUCCAGUCAUACUGGAAAACAGCAAAUCUACACAGGCGACUGUGGCGGGUUGAGGGAAGAAGCCUCCUUCACACAUGUAACUCAUCACACUCAGGCUUUCUCGCUGCAGAGCUGAGGAUGGGUUCUUUUAACUGUGCUUAGUCAGUCAUAUUGCCCAGAAGUGGAAAUAACAGAAUUUUCAAGAGAAACUGAGGUUGAGUAAAAUCUCAAAAACCAGUUCUCUUCACAGAUUUUUCAAACCUAUAUGACUUAUAAACUAUGAUGUCAAAUGUCUGAACUUCCGGCAGAGUCCUCCACCCACAAAUAAGAGUCCUAAGCUCCUUGGGGCUCUGUCUGGAACCUGAGAAGGAAAUCACCUUUGCUCCACAGAACCUUCUGCCUGACUCCACGCUAAUGAAGAAAGGACUGUGGCAGUCCAGAUCCUUCCCUGACACUGGGCUUGUCGCUGUGUACCCAACACCUGCAGCUGGCCUCCACGGCCCUGCUGGUGUCCUUUGCAAAGGACAGUUACUUGUCAGAGCUGAGCUGAGAUGGGACAGAGAACUGAAGAAGCCAGGUCUCAGGAAUAGAAAGAUAGGGCUCUCUGGGAGUCUGAAGUGGGUUGGGGGGGGUGCCCCCAAACUAAUGAUGGGUUUUGAAGGGCUGCUUUCAGGCUGACUGAGACGCCAGCAGUGGCAGAUGUUACUGGGUUUCAGGCAGUGUUUUCAUUAGUUGUCAGUUUUUGUGUGACAGAAACUCAAACUGCCUAAGCAAACUAAGGGAUUGCUUUUAUUUGUACUCUGAAAACUUGACAUCCGUCUAGUGCGUGGGCCCCUAGACCCACCUGUUUCGUUCAUGAGCACUGCCUCUUCUGUGUGCUAGCUUUUCUCACAGGCUGGCAUUUUGGGGGCACAAAUAGUUUAGGGAAUGUGGACUUUGAGGUCUCUGCUAGGCCAUCAGGAAAAGAGAGAUUGCCUCCUCUAGUAAUACAGCUGAGAACCUGAGGAUGCUUUUUCUCAGAAGGACUAGCAAAUGUUUUCUCAAUCCUCAUUGGCCAGGACUGAACCAAUCACCUGUCCUGAUGCAUACAUACUUUGAGGGGCAUCACCAGCGAAGGUCUCCAAGAAAGAAAGUAAAGAGGAGCUUCCUUGGCAACUGAGGGAGAAGUAGGUGUUGAGGAGGCGACCUGUGAAUGCUUACUGUACCUUCAUUAUCGUGGUACAGGCCAAGUUAGAUCGGGGCAAUAUGGACAUCGAUGAGAAGUCUUUCCUUCUUUGGGGGAAGAGGGCAGGAAAGGUCUCCCUGUGCAGACCACACUGGCCUGGUCUUAUGGUCUUCUUCUCCCUCCUACAUGCUACUGCCUUCCACUCCUGGUUAUAGAUAAAAUCUGUUCAGAACCCCAGCUCUGCCUGCUUCUAGCUGAGUUAUCUCUUCAAUCUCCAAUUUCUUCAUCUGAAAAAAUGCAGCUCAUGCCUAUAACGCCUUGGGAGGGUGAGGCAAGAGGAUUGCCAUGAGUUCCAGGCCAGCCUGGGCUACAGAGUUUGAGUACUUAUCCGAAAAACCAAACAAAAACAAAAUGUAAAUGGCAACCCCUCAGUGAAGAUCAAUUCAUGUAUCAAACUAUAUGUUUGUCCCAGCACUUGUGUGGCAGAAGCAGACAGAUCUCUUCAGUUUCCAGGCCACCCUGGUGUAUAUAGGGAGUUCCAGGUCAGCCAGAGUUAUAAUGUGAAAUCCUGUCUAGAAACAAAUGAACAAAACUACAUAUGGAGGGUGAAGGUACGUAAGUUUAUAUGUUUGAAAAUAUAAAUCCAAUAGGAAGUGCUUUUGUUGCUUUUUAGAGUGUCCCUGCAGUUGUUGAAGCCAGCAGGGAGGCCCAUUUCCACCCAGCAGGACAGCGAGCAUAAGGAAGCUAGCCCUGGUAGUGUCAGGCAAGUCAGGGCCCACCUGGUGUCUUCGCUGCCAGAAAGAGGGCUCACUGGUUCAGAACCAACCUUAGGCAGCAGGUGUUCAGGGCUGGGGUGGUAGAGUUUCAGCUUUGAUUUGUCUAUGAAGCCGUCCGGGUUAUUAAGAUGGUGACCCUGUUCUCUUGUUCAAGAACCAGUUUCAUUUCUAAUGACACAGCACCAUCAUGCCAUUCCUUGAUUUAGUCACUAGAACCAAAACUGAAGUGUGGCUGGUUUCAUGUUGUUUUUAUAGCAGUUAGUACAGAGAACAACAGGCUUGUGUGAAAACAGAUGUGUUUGCUAUCUGUUUCUCCAUCUGCUACCUCCCAGACUCAGCCAUCUCUGCCAUGGCUUGCUCCUCAGCCUCAGUUCUUGUCGGAGAGGCUCCCUUGAGAACAAGAACCUGGCUGCUCUUUCCAGGACUGCGGGCACAUUUUUUUUUUAAAAGAGGAAAAGAGUCUUGCCAUCCCCCAAGCCAUUCACCGUUUGGGAGAAUCAGAGAGAGAUGGAUAGUGCCCUUUCUGAGCACCCAGGAGGACUCGUGGUUUGAUGGGCCUCAGAGUGCUGAACUACAACAAGAGAAGGUGUUGAAUUCUCUAGGGAGAGCCUCAUCUUAAUAACAAUGCGAAAGUUCUCACAAUAAAUCAUAGUCUCCUCCCGCUGGCAGUGUUUCUAUAAUCAGGUUUAAAAGUGAAUGUUUACAAAGAAAGAAAUAGAAAUGGGCUAAGACUGUAGCUAAAUUAGCAAAGUGCUCACCCUGUACAUACUAGGCCCAAAGUUAGUCCCAGCACUGCAUAAGCCAGGCAUGCUGACACAAGCCUGUCAUCUUAGCACUCAGGAGGAUCAGAAGUUCAAGGUCAUCCUGAGUUUGAGGCCAGCCUUCGCUACAGAAGAUCCUCUUUAAACACACCCAGACACCUCUUUAAACACACACACACACACACACACACACCCCUCCAUAAACAUCGAUUCUUCCAUGUCUUCAGAUUUAAGAAUUACAGAACGUAGAACCCUAAGCUAUCUCCCAUAUAAUGUAAUCGCUCUAUCUGUGCUCAGGUUCCCUUGUGUAUAAAAUGAACCUAAUAGGAAAUCCUAAUAGGGCAAAGAACAGCUUAUAUGAAUAAAUGCGCACAGCAUGCUUGAGAAAGCACCUGGCACAGAGUGUGCCCUCCCAAAAUGUCAGUUGUCCUGGGCUAGCGAUGUAACUCGGUUGUGCUUGCCUAGCAUUCAUAAAGCCCUAGGUUCCCUAUCCAGCACCACAUAAUACAAGGUGCUGUGACCCAUACCUAAUCCCAUUUUGGGAAAUGGAAGGAUCAGAAGUUCAGGGUCAUCCUUGGCUACAUAGGAUGAGGCCAGCCUGGGAUGAGCGGUACCCUGUCUUGAAAAACAAAACAAGCCAAUAAAUAUUAGUUGUAAUUGUCCUCACUUCAUGUUUUUGUCCACUGCAAGUUGAAUAUCUUCAUCUCACCCCCCCCCACACACACACAGCCAGCCUCUCUCAAUACCUGCCUGCCCUCCAUCAACAUCACGCUCCUGUAACCUUGACUUUUGAUCUCGUGACAGAGGAGGGUAAGCCUUGCUUCCAUGGUAACAGCUGGUCUCUUCCAGAACUGUCUAUUAACCAGUGUUUGUUGCGUUUUAAUGAUAUCCUAUCAUAUUUAUACGUUGAGCCCGCUCACCAGGACAUUGGCUUUGGUGGCCGAGCUUCUCCGUUUUGACUUUGCUAUGCUGUUGCCAGGCUUUCAUCCUGGACCUUCUCAUCCAGUUGUCAAUGUUUCUAUUAGACUAAAUUUUUUUACCUCAAUCCCCUCAUUUAAGAAAAUUCCUUAAUAUUGUCAAGAAAGCCAUUUUCCACUUAAUUUUUUCCUCUUAUUUCAUCUUCCGUCAAUAUUUUCUUACUGUGUUCACCUUCUGGGGAGUCCAAAUAACAGCAUGGCUGUUCAGUGCUCUCUCUGUGUGGACCUUUAUCCCCUCCACGAUUGCAAAUUUCUUGAGACCAAAAGCCAGAGCUUGGUGGCACUCCUGAGCUUCUGGGUAGAAGACAGUCUGUUGCUAGGGGACUCCUGAGAGAGCUCUUCCAAGCAUGUGGCUCUCUACUCUUUCCCUCUGUUGCCUCUCUGAAUUUACUUAGGCCUUCAGUAAGCAGGGACAGACAGAAGGUGAGGGACUUAGGACCCUGGAGUCAGAGUCUGAAGGCGAUGUGUUGAGGAAUGAACCUGGCCUCCACCCUCUGCUGGAGUAGGACAUUUUCUCCAGCAGAAGAUGCCUCUACGUCUACCUCAUCGUGUUCCUUUUGGUCUGCUUUCUUCCUCCUACCUAGUCUCUCUUGCCCGCUCUCCCCUUUCCCUGAUUCACUUCCAGGCUGCCCUCCCCCGCCCGGCUUCAUGCCUUCCCUCUUACUCUUGCUUGGUCCUCUGUGUGCAUCACGGCGGUUUCUGUUCCCUCUCGCUCUUUUUCUUUCACUUUCCCCCGCCCACCAGUCCUUUUUAACUGUGUCAUCAUGGCUUACAGUGUGGGAACAUGGAACUCGUCGUCUCCCACAUUACACAGCCAUCUCUGGAUUCCAUGUGACCAGCAUUCCUUCCCUGAGCUACUGGGGCAGAACUGAUCCCCCACCACUACCAGCUGCUAAGGCCCAGCUUCUCUCUGAGUCCUGCUUCCUGCCCACUGCAGGGAGGGGGCGAGGCUCGAGCAGAAGAUGGAGGCCACAGAAGUCACCCCCAGUGCCUGGUAGGACUGUUGGGCAGUGUGAAGUGGGCAUGACCCCAGACAUCCCGCAGGUCAGCUUCCUCUGAAAGCACAGGGUUGGAGCGGAGGAUCUGAAUGACACGGGCUGCGGGGAGAUAUGGGGCUGCUUGGACAACUGAGAGCAACCCCUGCCUGUGCUGACACACGGGCCUGUCUUUAUAAUCUACAAAACCCAGCUGAAAUCCAAGUCAAAUGAAUAACAGGGUCCUGGUCACACGCAAGGAACAGUCUUCCCGUUUCCUCCUCCUCAACCCCACGCAUGCGCAAGGACCACUCUUCCCAUUUCCUCUUCAACCCCACGCAUGCAGGCUUGUGCAAUCUGUUCUUAUAUAAAGGUUUGCUAAACAGUCCAAGCUGAAGUUAGGUCUGGGAUCUGUGCGACGCAUGCUACCUCCCUUUCAAAGGUCAGCUGUCACCCACAGCAGCUACAGCAACCUGGAUAUUAGAGUGGGGGAGGGGAGGCGUGCCGAGGCUGCUGAGAACCGGACCUUCUUAGACUCGGUUUCACAAUGUAAGGAAUGUUUUGUGUAUCUUACAUGCAAACCAGAUUUGGUGACUCGAGUGGCAGUGUCCCUCUGCGACUGUGGCCAAGGAUGGAAAUAAAGCCUCUCCCUGUCUUAGAGGAUGGGUUUCUGCCAGGCACUUCGUUUCCUGCUGGUUUGCUCCCUUGACCCUUGGCAGCAGCCUGGCGCGCCUGCUAGCCAGCACCCAACCAGCACAGUGAAAGUGAUUAUUGCCCUGGCUGCCUACAGGCCUCUGCAGGCAUCUUCUGUCCUGGCCUGCUUGCAGGAUCCAUCAGAGUCAGGAUCAAGAGGUUAGCUGAGGGGAAAAAAAAGUGAGCCCGGUCUCCUGGCAUCUUUCCAAGUCCCAGAAAGGAACUGCUCCUAAUCCAGCAUCCUCUUCCUUUUUGUUCAGGUCAAGUAAUUAAAGCCCACCUGCCAUGGUUCCAUCAUGUUGGGAAGCUUCGUUCUCUAUGGACCAGUGCUGGGGUGGAGCCUGAUUAAAGGACGCUGGACACAAAGGCCUCAGCAGCUGCUACCCACUGUCUCGAACUUGCCAGGCCUGAGACCCAUGAGCUGAGACAUGGCAUUCGUCGUCGUCAAGUACCCGGUCUGGUAUUCUGUGACAGCAGCCUAAGGAAACAAAGACACCUGCUGUGAGUGUCCCCUCCCACGACACCAGAGACAGCAGGAGGCUGCAGGCCUGCAGAUCUCUUGCAGUUGUCCUGGUCCUGAUGCUGAGAAAUUUGGUCACCAUGCCUAUACUUCCUGCCCAGCUAUUGGCCAAUCAGCAUUUUAUUAAACCAAUUUCAAGUGACAGACCUUUGCGAUAUACAAGAGGACUAUUCCACAGCACCUGUCCUUGGCCAAUUAUUUCUCCCAGCACAGUCGUAUGUGCGGUAUUGUCAUUCUGAAAGCUGGGAAGGGUAGGAUCAUACAGAGAAGUCCAUGUGGCAGGCUCUACCUACUGUCUCAACACCUGGCUGGGCUGUCUUUGGAAGUCCACACAGAGAAGAUGUAGUGCCCCAGGGCUGCUCACUUGUCAGACAUGGAACACCUCAGACCAUAAGAUGUGCUAUGGUACAGAAAGGCCUGCCUGCUCAGGAUGGAAAGAACCCCGACAGUGUAUUCCCACGAGGUUAAAGCAAAGUCUGCAGAUCCGUCUGGACCGCUCUCAGACCUGGUUCACAGUCAGGCAAUCCCGGCUCCAUGACUCCUCGAAAGGGUUUAUCCCAGUGUUUGCCGGAAGUGGAAGCUGUCAGCAAAUCCUUCCCUUUGAGUUUUUUACUGGAUCCACACCAUUGCCAGCUCCUCCAAGUCGUUGAAAGGCAGCCUGGUUCUUUCUACUCAUUUGUCAAGCACUCAGAACUUCUAAGACAUGUGAGUCAGUCUUGAUAGUUUUGAGACUCUAUCCUGGCCCAGUGUAGGGAGCAGAUUAAUGCCAUGGUGACUACCAGCAGAGGUGUAUGGGACUGUGGGGUGAAGUUUCAUGCUUUCCUGUUGUUGUUUUUGUUUGUUUGUUUGUUUUUCUUUUUCUUUUUUUUACAGUGGACAUUUGGACUUUGCCUCACAAAAGAAUCAACAAAGUCUGAAAGCAAAUGGUGAUUUACAUGUGACUGUGACAGCGUCUUGACCCUGGAAUCCUCACAAAAUUUCUCUAGGAAGGAAUCAAGCCAGAGACCCUAUAGCUUGGGUAGUCCUCUGAGCUGGAAUUGCUCUUUGAAUCCCACCCAGUGUUGGCUGAAUCUCCUCAGGCUCAGAGCCCAGCUUGGGAAGAGGUCUUUGGACCAACUUGACAUCCAGGAUCGGGCUUAACAGGCUGUGUUCAGUUGGACUUCGCUCCCCAGCACCAGCCCUCACCCACUGAGCAGAAGCCACAGUACAGAGGGAGAAAGGCGGGUUACUGCCCCCAAAGUGGGCUUUCUGUGCGCUGACUAGACAGAGCAGUCCAGGGCUGCUGGGGUCUCCGAUGUAUAAACCAGGAGAGGGUGGCAUAGAGUCACCGUAUGUUUGCUUGUUUUGUUGUUUUCUUUUGUUUUAAUCUGAAGUACUCAGAACUGAACACUGGGUUUGAUCCAAAGUACUGAAAAACAAAUAAAAUAAUUAUUAAUAACAAA